rfam:Salmo salar isolate Sally breed double haploid chromosome ssa02, whole genome shotgun sequence.
UGCACUCACUACUGUAAGUCACUCUGGAUAAGAGUGUCUGCUAAAUGACUCAGU